rnacentral:lncRNA from 1 species
UUUUAUAUAUAUUUUAAAUGAAAGCAAACUUGGGUGAGAAUCAGAGUAGAAGUCUCAAAGUUUGUAGAGUUUCCAUCGAGAGUGCUGAUGCUUUUGUGUUAAGGAGAUUUGUUGCCUUGCCUGGAGAUGAGAGCGUUUCUAGAUUUGGUAGUUUCAGAGUGGAUUUUUCUCACUGUUAACUAUGAAUUGUCCAUAAGACAAAAAUAAGCUUGAGGUAAAAUUUACUGUUUGAAAUUUCUUAACCUAAUUUAUGUAAGCUGAAAUUUUGUCAAAUGCUAUGGGCAUUAUCAAAAGAAUACCUUUUUAGAUCUGCUGAAAUUCUGAUCUAAUGAUCUUGGAGGAAAAUGAGUUUAUAACUCAUGAGUUUUACCUUAGGUCGAUUACUUGGGUUCCAUUCGGCCAUAGAUUUUUAUGGUUCAGAAGAAUUAUUCUUACCUUUUCUGAGAUUAAAUAUCACUUGAUUUUAUCAGUAUAACCAUAGCAAAAAAGUCUUACCCAAAGAAGCCCUAAAAA